ensembl:lncRNA
GCAGCUUCUGGAGAACUUCACGGCAUGUUGAGGAGGUCAUCCAGCCGUUUGAAUCAGCUGUGUUGGAUCAUCUGAGACCUGCGGGACUCCGGCCCUCGAGGCCUGGCGUUGGACAGUCCGGCACUAAAGUUUUGUCCGGAGCUUCUGUCACGACACGAAGCUGCACAGUGAAGAACAGUUCAGCACACUCUUACUCUGUAACUUGUUUAUUUAACUUUACAUACUGUAUAAAGUGUUCUGUAUAUACACAAUAUACACGACACAGGUAGUGCAGGUUUUAUUUUACAGGGCUGUCUGCUUACAGUUCACAUUUUGCAUGAUGAAUAAUCCAGUGUUUAACAUUCAGUCCUCUUCAGUUGGUGAAGCUCAGACCUGUUUGGUUCCCUCCCAGAACGGGUGCGACUCCUACAGGAGCCACACUGGACACGGAGCCUUCCUGUUGUGAUGUAACAGUCCUGUGCCAGGCUGAGGUAUGACUACCAGCCACACUGUGUGAGAGUACACACCACCACCCCAACAUGCUUUGGAAACACUCGGCGCUGAUGACAUGUGGCAUGUUAUUAUGCAAAUCACCAAAGUUAAUAUGACCAAUUUUCCUGCUUAUGAAAGGCAAUUUUUGUCACAUUUCUCCAAACUGACUCAGGCACUUUCGCUGCAUAACACCAGCAGUGUGUUUCCACACAUCUCCUGCCAGAGCGACAACGGCGUCACUUCACAGGUUUGGGAAUGAAAAAAGGGAGAAAAUAAUAAACAGAGAAAGGCACUUGAGGGCAACAGACAUGGCAGUGGGGUUCAAGUGGAAACAGGUUUGACGCAUUUGAACAUAAAAGCCUUCCCACUCUGCGCACCGGCAUCUGGGCUGUCUCUUCUUGUUUUAACACUGAUGUGGCGUGAAGCUAAAUACUGUCAGAAGGCACGAGAUCCAAACCGACGCUGAGACAUUAGUGAAGAUGUGGAGCUUCAAAUUUGUGCAGAAUGCAUGUAAGUGCUGCCUUCUGACCACUGACUCAGGCUCAAUGAUGUCAAACAGCCGCUGCACGCUCACGAUGUUUCUGUCCGUACAUCGACGGCGUCCUCGCCGUGUCAUAUCCAUCAGAAUGUGUUAAAGAGCACCUUCCAGGUCGUCCACCCGUUCUACCUUUGUGCCUUUGAGCACCGAAUGCUCCGAGUUGUUUCCAGAUUGACAGAUGGAGCUGCAGCAGCUUGUGGUGGUGAAGGUAUGUCCUUACUCUCAGCUAUGACACCAGCUUUGGUUGGUGACCAAAAGCAUCCCAUCAAAGCAGCAGAGCUCUUGCGUCUGUGAUGACGAGGUUCAGGUCGUCUCCUCUUCGGUGAUGUUUUCUGGGCACGUCCAACCAGGAGGAGACCCCGUUGCAGACCCGGGACACAGCUGAGCUGUUCGGGAACGUCUCAUUAUCCUCACUUCCUGGAAGAACUGGAGGCAGCAAGGCAUCAUCAGUUUGUGGUGCCAUGCUUACUAGUACCAGUACAUUUUUAGGGAGGUGGAAAUACGUGAAACUGGUUCUGGAUUUGGCACGACGUUGGUGGAGGUUAAAGGUUAAAGAUAUGAGCCCUGAAAAGCUGCAGAUCAUCUCACCUACUCAGCUCAGACCGCCCCAAGUAUUUGGACUGAGUAGGACUCAGUUUGAUAUAUGCUACAUAUUAAAUUAUCAAACACUGCAAAUGACCUCAAGUUCCUCGAGGAACCAGGAGCCAGUGAUGCUGCUUUGGCCAAAUCUUCAUCCUCAGCCCCUUUUUGAAUCUGUUCCAGGAUGUGAGAUAUUUGCUGACAUGUCUCACCUGCUACAAAGAUCUAAAACAUCACUUUUUAAACAGGAUUUUGUACGUUGUGAUUUAAAGGGACUGUCCCAACCCAUAAGUGCAUACAGCCUGCAGUUCUCUUUAUCUGGAUGUUGAUCGCCCGUCUGACUCUUGACAAUAGUGGUAAGGAAGGUGCUUUUGCUGUGGCGUGGUCACGGUGCUGUUUGAAGGCUCGUACAGUAACUGCGAGGGAACCCAUCGUAGUGUCUGCUCAACUUUAUGAUCCUCAACAUUUAAAACUGUUUCUUGCACAUGAGUCCAGUAUGUCGCUGCUCCCACUCAGUGAGCUCAGCGUUAUGCAGAAAGCUUCUCUUCUCAUUUCCAUUUGUCUCGUGUUAAAGACACGACUCGGGUCCGGGUGCUAUAGCAGUCCAGUCCACAGAUUGUAGCACGCGGUGUUAAUUACAGACUCCAGGUGAUGAUACAUGGACACCAGCUGAGGAGGGGGGCUGCUGCCGGCCUGCGGCUGCAACGGCAGCGGCUCCCGAAACACGACCUUUAAACUCUGCGGGAGGAAGAUGAAAUCUGAGAACUUUGCAUGACUUUAUUAUAAGAAAAAAUAAGUCAGACGUGUAUAAGAACUCACAGUUUUUCCAGCUUGGUUGUCCAGAAAUACCAGAACGAAGCAGUCGGUGAACUUUUGGUUCAGAACAGCCUGAAGUACAAAGACACGAGUGGACGUUAGCUGGAACGAGGUGAACAGAUACUGGAUGCCGUUGUCGUCGAAGUGUCUGCAGCUCUGAGGGAAGCGACUGAGCAGGACCUUGAUGAGACUCUGGUACCAGGCUGGACCCAUGGUCAGGAAACAGUCCUGCAGCAACACGUUCACACUACAGUUACAACACUGACCAUCAGAAACUUUCACUGGGUUUCACCUGCAAAGUCAAAUAUUCAAGCUGCAGAUGUAUCAUUUAAAAGCUCCUCCUUUAACUAACAAAAUCCUGAAGCCUCCUGAUGUGUUAGGAACAUUUACCUCCCAUUCACAGCUCCUGCUAACAUGUAUGUGCGAGCUGAUGUUUGAUCUGCAGGUCACCUGCAGCUGGCUGAGGUCACAGCGAGAGCCUGAUCACCUCCAAAUGUUUCUCAUACUGUGGGAGCACCGAUGCUUAGCUGUGUGCUGGUGUUGCUUUGCGUUUCAAAUGACAGGGUGUCGAGCUGCUGGCGGUUCAUUUGUGUCGAGCUGUGGUCUUAGUAAUCAAGGUGUUUGGUAUUGCUGAUGUUUGAUGGUCAUAACUGAAUCUUGAUUUUAAGGCUAAAAUUAGAGUCUCACCAGCUGCGGGUCGAUUUCCCCCACUGAUCGGCUCUGCACAGCCUCCAGCAGCUCCUCCAGCUCGCUGAACGACAACUUGGCCAGCUUCAGUUUAUCCAGGGCCACAUGCUCGCCGUGGAACAGCCUCCUCCACAGGUUGUCCCUGCGGCAGUGACCCAUGGCCUGCUCCACGCUGAUCUGGAUCUGUCUGCGGGCAGACGCCACCUCGUUGUUGAGAAGAGGGAACAGAGGGGAGGCGUAGAGGAGCCCCUGAGCCUCUGGUCCACCGCCUGUCAGAGGGUAAAACUCGUUGCCAUCACUUGGAGCCAAGGGUGCUGAAGCUUCAGACGAACCCUCCUCCCAGAGGUCCUGCUCAGAACCACGUGACCCAGAAGCCUCUGCUCGAUCCUGGGAGAGCCGUCCCCCCAGCUCUCCGGGAUCACGGUGGAUUUGAGGAAGCUUCUUAAAGCGGCGCAUGUCUGCAGUGAGGCGUGGGAAUAGCUCCCGCUGACUGGUCAUGAUCACGUAGAAGCGUAGCCUAUGAAAGGGGACGAGAUGAGACUCAGCAAAAGUUUAUCCAGUGCCUUCAGUGAUGUACUGUUAACACAUUUGUUUGGCCCGUGAAACGUCCACCAGUCCUCUUUAGGUUGUGUCAGGACAUGUCAGAUAAAACAAACAUGGUGUCAGCCCAGAUAUGAGUAACUAUCACACAGCCUCUAUGCUGCAGUCUGUAGAUCUUACCUGAGCAGAUGCCUCUCCCCGUCUGACUGCUCCUCAAACGGAGCAGCGUUGUGACACACCACCAGGGAAACAUCGAAGUCAUCGUGGUGGGGCAGACCGUCCAGAUCCUUGUAGGAGCCCGAACUAAAGCAAGAGGAGCCAACAAAGGUAAAGUUAAGCCGCAGAUAUGAGGAGAGAAGGUUUAUUCUGAGGUCAGAGCUGUUUCUCCACCUGUUCCACAGAGCCACCAGGGCAUACUCGUGAAGGUCAGGCAUCGCCUUCUUGUUGUCAGUGGCGACCGCAGCCUUCGACAUGCGGAGCGGCUUCAUGCCAUACGUGCUGGCGUGGUCGGUGAUGUAGUUGUAGAGCUGGUGAGCCGUUAUCAUCCCCGUGGAGAUGGAGAAGCUCCCUGAUUUACACAAGAAUGACAGACGCUCAGAAGGACAAACACAGUUGUUCCUGUGCACACACAGAGCCCGAGAAGCUCUGAUGGAAAAACAAAUAUCUGCUCAUCGAUCCAGAACGGCUCAGAGAGCGCUGCUGGUGACGCCCGAACGGAGGCGGGACACAGAGGGACUGAACUCGUCUUUCAGUGAAACAAUUUCAAAUAUUUACUCUGAAUAUCAUUUCAGUUGGUUUGCACUGACCACCAGAGGGAGCUGGAGAAGACGCUAAACAUGAACACAAAUUCACCUGAGUAGACUUCCAGUACUCGUGCUAGCAGAGGUUAGCGAAUAAACUCUGUGCUAAAUCAACCACAGGGGUGGGGGGGGGUAAGAGGUGAGCUAAAGUUGUUUAUUUCAGAACAAAAAAAAAAAAUUCAUGAACCAUCACUGUGGAUGAUUCAGAUUUACCUGUUUAGCUACAGAAGUUUAACCCAAACUUUGUUUGGAGUUUGGAAUUUAAUCCAGACCACUUCCUCCCAAAGGUCUCGGUGCACUUAUUUUUUUCUGCACGUCUGCAUAGUUUAAGCCAAGACAGCAGAGUUUGUUUUUUAAAAUGACCACAACUUCCAUAAACGUGCUGCGAAUAACUUCAGUGAAGUCACAGCACACGGACACAUUUUCAGAUGCAAGUCUUUGUUAAAUGAAGCUGGUGGAAAGACUUCAUCUCAUGUAUCAGGGACCAUUAGGUAAAAGGGGGAAAGUUGAAAGCCGGAGGCAAAGAAUACAAAUUAAAGUUAUAACCUUGCACUUUUUAAGGUUGGAUAAACCUAAUCGCACCAUAAAAAUGGGGAAUGCCAUUCGCACUUUAGUGAGGACGUGCAGCUAUAUGGUGGAUAUAACUGGAUCCUUAGUUUGUAUUUCCCAUCAGAACCAGUGUGUGUUUGUGUGGGCACUGACCCACAGUUCAAAUGCUUCUAAUCACAUGAUGAUUUUUGGGCCUAUUUUUCAUUUGUCAGUUUGUUUUUUUCUGGUCUUUGUUUCUGGUGAAUUCGAGUUUUGUUCCCUUUAGUAAAUGCUCUGUACACCGUUCACUGUGUUGCCAUCUUUUGUUUACUUUCACUGGCUGCUCUGGCGGCUGCUGUAAAUGUUGAAAAGCUAGAAAUCAUGGCAGAAUCAAAAAAACAUUAUCAUCAUCAUCACAUGGGAUUCGAUGCAGUCAGCAACACCAGAAUCACCUUGAAAGACGUGGUUGCGGCCGAACUUGGGGAUGUCCGGGUGAUGGGAGAUGAAGUCGUCCAGGAAGUCGGUGAGCUGGUAGCCUUGCCGUAGCGUCAUGUGGCAGCCGACCAGGUACUGGUGAACCACUCGCAGGUGGAAGUCGUAGCUGAAGGAGUGAACGUGCAUGGUGUCCCUGACUUUAUCACACUCCUCAGUGAAGAGCAUGGAGAGCUGCAACAGAAGGUUGUGAGACGUCAUCACCAGGACAGCGUGACUCACUGACACAGACGGGAAAAGAAGGAGGUACUCUAACUCCAAACUCAGUCAGUCUGAAUACCUCUGCAAAACUGAUCUGGCAGACAGCGCUAACUCUGAAUGUCUAUCUGUGCGAUCAGCCAUGUAUGAAACUGUUUUGCAUCUGAAGGGGAAGGACCUGCUGUUCCAGCCACUCCAACAGAGACUGCUUUGUACAGCACACCUUAAGGCCCUGCUGCACUGUGACUCCCAUCGCUCCUUACUGAGAAGCUUUUGUAAGCAACUUUGAUAUCAAUCAGAUUCAUAAUAAUAUCCUUUUUAAUUAAAUCCAACAUCAAAAGGGAGCUGACAAAAGCAAUAAUUGCAAAUGCAAAUGGCUGCAGUGAGAGGCUGUGCUGUGCAGUUAAUUACAGCACAAUAAGAGUUUACAAGGAGCUCUAAUUGCUACUCCUGCUUUUACUUUGAUCUGGACCAUUUGCCUGGAACGUGCACAAAAGCAGCUUCAUUAUAUCAAAGAGCCAAGAAAAGACUGCACAGCGUUCUGUAGCUACAGACUUUCAUCUCUUCGCCGUCUGGAACCUUUUCCUGCCUCGACACUUGUCCAGAAACUGGCAAAAGGGCAGAAGACUUUCAUCAGCACCCUCACCGCAGAGAUAAGAAUGAGGAAGAAUAUUCUUUUCCACACAGGAAUGAAAAGAUGAAUAUUAACUUUUCUCUCCCCAGCGGUGUUCCUGCAGUCUGGCAGACAAAUUAAGUGUGACCUCCUGGCCUGUUAUCUAUGGAGCCUGGAAGCCAAUGGGACUGCGCGGCUCUCCUCAGUUCAUAGGUAGUUCCUGUGUGUGUGUGUGUGUGUGUGUGUGUCCUCCUUGCUAUCACGCUAACAUUUAUUAUUUCCUAACCUGUAAUCCCAAAUGGUUCAUGUUCUAGUUAAUUAAACACUCCGUGUAACUUUGACAAGAACAAAUUGCCAGUUUGAGUCGUGGGGCUGCAGCUCGUCUCCUGUCAGCGGCACUCGGUGGAAGUGAAAUUAAUGACAGCGGCUGCAUUGACGGGAGAAGCUGCAAUCAGCGAGGUCAUACAAGAAGAAGAAAAAGAAGAGAAUACAAAGCAAGCUGAUUGAAAGAAAGACAAGCAGAGCGACGAGAGGAAAGCUCUCAGCCUGUGACAUCCAUCGAUGCGUCCCUGUGAGGCUCUGCAUUUUCACUCCUGGAAAAAAAGACUCACAUUUCUGCAGUGGUACUAUCACAAUGCAGUGAUCUGAAACCCAACAGGAGUAACAGCAGUUAUCCAGCUGUGAUGUGUGUAUUACAACUGCAAAUAUACACUCACAGCCACUUUACCAGGUACACCUUUCCCCCUUCAGCACUGCCGUAGUGCUUUGUGGCACAGAUUCGACAAGGUGCUGGCACCAUUCCUCGUGGUUCACACUGACAUGAUAGUGUCACACGCAUGCUGUAGAUUUGAAGUCUCCUGUUACAUCACAUCCUAAAGGUGCUGUGUGGGAUCAACACUUUGAACCUUUGAUUACAGCAGAAUCAGGUUCAAGAAUCCAGUUUCAGAUCAUGAGAGUUUCCUGACGUGUCAUGCUCUCCAGCUGGAAGACGGGUACAUGGAGGAGAUUCAUCAGAGCAGAUAAGCUUCCAAACUGUCCACUAUUGGCGAGGCUGUGGAAAUCGUAAGCCGUGGUCUCCUGGUUUUACCUGCACGCAGCAGCACUCUGUGUGGUCUUCUGCUGCUGUAGAGCUUCUCACUUGGUGUUUUCAGGGAUGCUGUUCUGCAUACCUUGGUUUUAAUGAGCAAUUGACCGAGUUAUUGUUGGCUUCCCAUCAGCUAACAGGAGCUUGGCCAAUCUCCUCUGACCACUGGCAUUUACUGGACCAUCCUCUGUAAAGCCUACAAGUGUCUGUGUUGAAAAAUCGCACAUUCAUCACUUAAAUAACAUUUGCUGAUGCUCGGAUUGAACUUCGGGUCUUCUUGACUAUGCCUACAUGUCUACAUGCAUUGAGUUGCUGCCAUGUGAUUGGCCCAUUAGUAUUUGCAGUGUUGGUGUCUCUAAUAAAGUGGCUGGUGAGUGUCUGAUUCUCUGCUUAUGUAUUUAGUACCUGAUUUUCUUAACCGUAACACCCUGAGGAUAUGUUAGUGUGAGUGUUGCAGUACGUUUGCUUUCUCUGGCUGCUUGGUCAGGUUUAGGCACAGAAUAAUUACAUACAUUACUAAUAAUUCAGAAGACCCUUAUGAAGAGAACAUCGAGGGAACAGUUUACCCUGCCCGGGAUAGGGUUACCGGGGCCCCGCCCUGGAGCCAGGCCUGGGGAGGGUGCCCGAGGGCGAGCGUAUGGUGGCCGGGCCUUAGUCCAUGGGGCCCGGCCGGGCACAGCCCGAAGAGGAGACAUGAGCCCAUCCUCCCGCAGGCCCACCACCCGCAGGAGGCGCCAUAGGGGUCGGGUGCAUUGUGUGCCGGGUGGCGGCCAGGAGGGGAGGCCCUGGCGGACUGAUCCCCGGCUGCCAAGACUGGCAAUAAGGACAUGGAAUGUCACCUCUCUGGUGGGGAAGGAGCCUGAGUUAGUGCGUGAGGUUGAGAGGUACCGGCUAGAUAUAGUCGGGCUCACCUCUACGCAUGGCUUGGGCUCUGGAACCAGUCUCCUGGAGAGGGGCUGGACUCUGUCUCAGUCUGGAGUUGCCCAUGGUGAGAGGCAACAGGCUGGGGUGGGUAUUCUAAUAUCCCCUCGGCUUGCUGCCGGUACGUUGGGGUUUUUCCCGGUGGAUGAGAGGGUUUGUUCCCUGCUCCUUAGGGUCGGGGAACGGGCCUGACUGUCAUCUGCGCUUAUGCGCCGAGUGGCAGUUCAGAGUACCCAGCCUUCUUAGAGUCCCUGGGUGGGGUGCUGGAAGGUGGUCCUGCUGGGAGACUUCAAUGCUCACGUGGGUAACGACAUCGAGACCUGGAGGGGCGUGAUUGGGAGGAAUGGCCUCCCUGAUCUGACCCCAAGCGGUGUUUUGUUAUUGGACUUCUGUGCAAAUCACAGUUUGGCCAUAACGAACACCUUGUUCGAACAUAAGAGUUUGUCCAUAAGUGCACGUGGCACCAGGACGCUCUAGGCCGC